rnacentral:rRNA from 1 species
UGGGGGAUAUUGCACAAUGGGCGAAAGCCUGAUGCAGCGACGCCGCGUGGGGGAUGAAGGCUUUCGGGUUGUAAACCUCUUUCGCUAUCGAACAAGGCCCGCUUAGGGUGGGUUGAGGGUAGGUGGAGAAGAAGCGCCGGCUAACUACGUGCCAGCAGCCGCGGUAAUACGUAGGGCGCGAGCGUUGUCCGGAAUUAUUGGGCGUAAAGGGCUUGUAGGCAGCUUGUUGCGCCUGCUGUGAAAACGCGGGGCUUAACUUCGCGCGUGCAGUGGGUACGGGCAGGCUUGAGUGUGGUAGGGGUGACUGGAAUUCCAGGUGUAGCGGUGGAAUGCGCAGAUAUCUGGAGGAGCACCGAUGGCGAAGGCAGGUCACUGGGCCAUUACUGACGCUGAGGAGCGAAAGAAUGGGUAGCGAACAGG